UUGUAGAUUCUUUUCUGGUAUUUUCUUCUCUUUCCUUUUCCUUUCUUUUCUUUUCUUCUCUUUUCUUUUCUUUUCGUCCCGCCAACGUGCUUACUUCUCCCUCUUCUCUGUGGUUGAAUAGUUCGAUAGAAGGAAUGCUCUAAGAAGGUUUCGAUGGAGAUUGAAGGUGAAGAUGAUUCGAGAAUAAUAAUUGGGAAUGGGUCGAAGGACUGCGGAAGAGGGUUAGGAUUUCCAUCCGAUGAUAGAACAGUUUCCCGCCGCCAUGUUUCAUUUGAACUACUCACCUCUUCUAGGAUUGGGAAGAAUAAGGAUAUUAAUCCAGAUACGGAACCUACGGUUUCUUUUGAAGUUUUGGGGAAGAAUCCUUUUUGGGUGUUCAGCAAUAGCAGCGGUGACGUUAGAGCUUUCGGGAGGUUCGAGAGAGGGGAACUCAGAAUCGGUGAUCGGUUCUGUGUUUCUGCAGAGAAACCCAUCUUGUUUAGAUUGAAGAGAAUUGGGGUUGAAGACCCUGAAGGAAAAGAGAAAUGCGUCCCAAAGGCGGUCGAGUGUAGCCGAAGGGUUUCGGAGGCAAAAGUAAUGGCAGAAAGUAUUCAAAACGUUGUUGGGAAGUUUGAAGGAGAGGAGAGUUUAGGUUCUGAGUCGCUGAACGUCUCAGAUAUUGACCCAGUUAAAGAGUUUGGUUUUGUGGUAAUGGGCCAUGAAUUUGACCGCUACCCGAAGCAAAUGGUUCGAGAUAUAAAUAAUUGGAAGUGGUACCUUGAAGAAGCAAGGGAAGAUAUUGAAGAUGACGAUCUGCUUGAGAAAAAUAGCUCAAAAGGGAAGAAAAUUGUUGGAAGAAAGAAGAAUGAUAAAAGAAAUGAUGAUGAGGAAUGGAUGGGUGAGAGUGAAGAUGAGAUAGUGCUAAUGGAAAACAUAAGAAGAGCAAAAAGACCUAGACAUUCUAUGGCUAGAUCAAAGUAUCACGGUGAAUCCUCUAAGGAUAUGGGAAGUAGUAAACAUUUGGUGCAGAGGAAAACUGUCUGUUCUGAUCAAGGUGAAGAUGAAGAAGACAACGAUGAAGAUAAUCUUGGUGGUUUUAUUGUGAAUGAUGAUGACCUAGAAUUAGAAGAACAAGAAGAAGAGGAGGAGGAGGAGGAGGAAGAAGAUUAUGAUGAUGACAAUGACGAUGACGAUGAAAAUGAUGAUGACAAUGAAGGCAAUGAUGACUAGAAGUUAAAAUCUUGGAAGCGGCAUGUAAGCUGGGAACAUGGUCACAUGCAUUAUGAUCUAGAUGUAGACGUACUGAUUUAAACUUUCAGUUUGAGAGCCUUUCUUCAUGAGACAGUUCUUAUUCUUGUGAUCUUGGCAGCGUUUAUUCUUGGUUGAAGUUUGUAACCUAUAACCUGACCGACUGGCUUCAGUUGUUAUUUUGUAUUUCCAUGGAAAUUUCAUUGGGUUAAUGCUAUAACACAAUUAUUUUGGGGCAAUGUGUGGGGAACCAAUGGCUGCUUGAUAGCAGCAACUUCAAAGUGAUAUCCAAGAUAUAAUUUCAUCAAAGAGGUUUUCUUCAGUUUCUACUUGAAUGUUUUUCAUGAUCUGACUAGAAUGAUUAUUUUGCAUUUUAGCAUUUGCUGAGAUGAGGUGAUUAAUAGAAUUCAAGAAUGUUAAGAGCAGCAAUCUCUGGAUAAUGAUAUUGGUGUAAACUUGUGUAAACAGCAGAAGCAUGGAGAAUGGCCCCAAAACGAUAGAUUAUGUAACAAAUUGAGUAACCUACUUGGAUAGUAUGUGUAAUAUUGUUACUACUAUGGUGACAAAUACAAGUCCCCCAAGUAUGAUUAUAUAUCAUUGCAUUUUAGAAUUAAAAGAACAAAGGACCUUUUAAGAGGCUUUUCCAUUUUCCCUUGUUUCAUAUUUUGUGGUUGGACAAGUAGUAGUCAUUUGCAGGUGAAGAUGGGUAGUGAGGCCCAAGACUUUUCCAGCUUUGCAAGCUAGAUCAUCUAUUGUUUGUAAGGGGCUUCCAUAUCAAGAUUUGAGUGUAUUUUCUGUUGCUGUCAACAUAACACAAAUUUGUUAACUAUGCACACCUUGAAAAGCAACUUGGGCUGAUGCAGGAAUUUGAGCUUUCCCAGGUAAAAAGGCAAUGGUACACUGUAGCUGUGGUAAUAGAGGAUGACAUGCACAUAGUGUAUACCUGAGGCACCAAAAUAUGUUGAUAUGUGAAUGUGGGUGGCAUUUUAUUACCUCAUCAAGAAGAUACCUUCUAGAAGAAGAAACAUGGUGGCAAAUAAUGGAAGGGGAAAGAACAAAAAACAACAAAAGCAGCAAAAGAGAAAGUGUGAGGAGACUUUAGGGUUCAGAUGGCCAUGGAAAAAUCUUUCUGAACAGCUUAGUGACAUUUGCCCCGCUAAGGUUGACCACCUCAUCUCAUUACCCACCAACAUCUGCAAUAGUAGUAGUAGUGGUAACUUAUAUCAUUUGUGGGGACCAAGGAUUCAUGGUUUACCCAUACAUGGACUAAAAUUUUAAAGUACAAUUUUACAUUGGGACCCACCAUUGAGCCUGAAGUAGUGUUAUGAAAUCUUUGACAGAAAACAGUGAAUACCCUAAAUAAGGGACUGUAUUGUGAUGAAAUAGAUACAGGGAUGAUGAUGGCCAUGGCAGCAAAUGUUUGGGACAACAAUAAAUUCAAUUCAAUGGUGUCUUAGAUCAGCAUCAGUCAAUGGAACAGAGAGGUCAUGAUUUUGGGAGCUAGAGCUUGGACAGAAGAAUCAAAUUAUGAGUUUCCUCCUUUUCAGUGCCACUCAUGUUCCUGCUGCAUUUGGGGUAUGGACUAAAAGAGAGGAGCAGUUCUGUAAUUACUAUUGAGGAACUGUGAUGAAUAAGAAUCCGACAAAGAUUCAGGUUGUGAUGACACCAGAAGCAACCCACUCAGCCCACCCUGGCCCCCAAAUAGGUGAGAUGACAUCACACUUGUAUUGUUUUGAAAAGGGAAAAUUAGCAUAAUAGGAAGAUUCGUUUUCAAGAUUCUUACAAAAGAGGGACAUACUUCUGGUGUAUUAAUUAUUCACUUUUAGUAUUGCUUCUAGUUGAUAGAUA